GCCCCCGUAGCUCAGUUGGAUAGAGCAGCGGUUUCCUAAACCGUAGGUCGCACGUUCAAUCCGUGUCGGGGGCACCA
rnacentral:tRNA from 1 species